ACACCGAUAGUGUACUGAGGGUGCACCAGCCGAGGGAUCGUCAGCGAUGGUGAAGGUGACCUACCUAGCUUAUAUCGAUCGAGUGCAAGUCACAGAGAAGGAAAAGUGAACAGUAUUAUAUCGUGCGAAGUGAUAGAUAGGCGUCCCAUCUUCUUUUCCAUUAGAUAGUUAAAAUUUAGAGUUUCCUGUUGAUUAUCUCAGCUCUUAAAUCUAAUUAAAAUAUAUAGCUAAAUACAUAGUACGGAAGAACAAUAGUACGGACAGGUGGCGGGUUGCUGUAUAUAAUCAGCACAUGCAUAAUUUAGGAAUUGAUAGAGCUUGAAACUCCUCAUUGAGCUUUAUACGAACGUUUGAGAGAGCUACCAUUAGAUUCCAUGAACUAUAACAGCUGCAACGUAUGAACAUAUGUAAAGGCUAUACGGAGCGUUGCACGACAAUAAGAAAUACUAAGAGUACUAUAACUAUAACAGCUGCAACGUAUGAACAUAUGUAAAGGCUAUACGGAGCGUUGCACGACAAUAAGAAAUACUAAGAGUUAGCAUUAUACCUUUAUAAUCUAAAAGCUACAACUUACAUCUACUCUUAUUUCCUAGGAAUUUUAUAAUCUAAAUAAACAUUUAUUGAGGAUUGAUAAAAUUGGAUUAUUUCUUGUCGCUGCUGCGUGCGUAACAUUAUAAAAUUCUCUUAUUGGAACUGAGAAGAUGCCGGGCAAACAGUCCAAUACAAAAUCCAAUAAAAAAGUAAAAACCGCUAAGCUGACGAUUCAGACAAAGGGUACCGCCGCCAUUGCUAAUGCCGUUGCUGUUAACACCGAUGCAACAGCCAUCAACACGCAACCUGAACGAGUACUUGGACUCUCUUUCAACACUGCUAUGAAUGUUCCUGUACUUAACACGGAAUCAGGAAGCCAGCAAGGCGCCGCGGGUGCCAACGUGAUAAACAAAGUUCGCCGGUCCACACGAAAUAAUCACUGCUCCCUGUGCGAUGAACGGGAUAAUAGCAGAAUGGUCCAAUGUGACUCCUGCGACAACUGGUAUCAUUUCACGUGCGCAAAUGUUACUGAAGCAGUCUCAGAGACAGACUGGAGUUGCCCGUCUUGUGGAACUAGUAACAGUACCAAUCCUCUCCAU